rnacentral:lncRNA from 1 species
CGAGGGCUAUGGGGAUCUGAUUAUAGCCGGAGUCCAUCAAAAAAAUAGUAGAACUCUUGUCCAGCUAAUUUUUCUGGCAUUUGGUCAAUAAACGGUAAUGGAAAAGUGAUCUUUUCUUGUUGCAACAUUUAGUUUUCUAUAGUCUAUAGAGACCCUCUACCCCGUUUGGGUCCUAGUUGGGAUAAGUUCAUUUGCUUCAUUCUGGACCACUGUUAUCCCAGA